rnacentral:tRNA from 1 species
GAGGGGAUAGCUCCAUGGUGGAGCACAUGCUUGGUGAGCACGAGGUCCUGGGUUCAGUCCCCAGUGCCUCUG